UGAUCCAGAGUACCACGGGACACGUGAAACCCUGUGGGAAGCAGGAGGGACCAUCCUCCAAGGCUAAAUACUACUUAGUGACCGAUAGCGCAUAGUACCGUGAGGGAAAGGUGAAAAGAACCCCGGGAGGGGAGUGAAAUAGAACCUGAAACCCUGUGCUUACAAGCUGUGGGAGCACUUUAUAUGUGUGACCGCGUACUUUUUGUAGAACGGGCCAACGAGUUACGACAGUAAGCAAGGUUAAGUACUUAAGGUAUGGAGCCGUAGUGAAAGCGAGUCUUAAAUGGGCGUUAAGUUUUCUGUCGUAGACCCGAAACCGGGCGACCUACCCAUGAGCAGGAUGAAGCGAAAGUAAAAUUUCGUGGAGGUCCGAACCCACGAGCGUUGAAAAGCUCGGGGAUGACUUGUGGGUAGCGGUGAAAUUCCAAUCGAGCCCGGAGAUAGCUGGUUCUCCCCGAAAUAGCUUUAGGGCUAGCCUCAAGGUUGAGAAAUACGGAGGUAGAGCACUGAAUAUCCUAGGGGGCAUUGCGCUUACCGAAGAUUAUCAAACUCCGAAUGCCGUUAUUUUAUACUUGGGAGUCAGACUGUGGGUAAUAAGAUUCAUAGUCGAGAGGGCAACAGCCCAGAUCGUCAGCUAAGGUCCCUAAAUGUAAGUUAAGUGGUAAAGGAUGUGGGAUUGCAUAGACAACCAGGAUGUUGGCUUAGAAGCAGCCACUCAUUUAAAGAGUGCGUAAUAGCUCACUGGUCGAGUGAUCCUGCGCCGAAGAUUACCGGGGCUAAAACUUACUACCGAAGCUACGAUAUCAUUUAUGAUAGGUAGGGGAGCUUCCUAUGCAGGCUGAAGCAUGACCGUAAGGACAUGUGGACAGUAUAGGAGUGAGAAUGUUGGCAUGAGUAGCGAGACGUGGGUGAGAAUCCCACGGGCCGUAAACCCAAGGUUUCCAGGGGAAGGUUCGUCCGCCCUGGGUUAGUCGGGACCUAAGCCGAGGCCGAAAGGCGUAGGUGAUGGACAACAGGUUGAGAUUCCUGUACCACCGAUAAUCGCUUGAGAGAAGGAAUGACACAGUAGGAUAAGCUAACCACACUGUUGGUUAUGUGUGGCUAAGUACUGAGGCAGUCAAGGUAGGCAAAUCCGCCUUGAUAAUGCUGGGGUACGAUGGGGAGCGAAAUUAAGUAGCGAAGUAGCUGAUUUCACACUGUCGAGAAAAGUUUCUAUCGAGAUUAAAGGUGCCCGUACCGCAAACCGACACAGGUGGGUGAGGAGAGUAUCCUAAGGCCAGCGAGAGAACUGUUGUUAAGGAACUCGGCAAAAUGACCCCGUAACUUAGGGAGAAGGGGUGCCACGUUAGGGUUAACGCCCGAGGUGGCCGCAGAGAAUAGGCCCAAGCGACUGUUUACCAAAAACACAGGUUUCUGCUAAGUCGCAAGACGAUGUAUAGGAGCUGACGCACGGCGGCCGUAACUAUAACGGUCCUAAGGUAGCGAAAUUCCUUGUCGGGUAAGUUCCGACCCGCACGAAAGGCGUAACGAUUUGGGCACUGUCUCAACAACAGACUCGGUGAAAUUGUAAUCCCGGUGAAGAUGCCGGGUACCUGCGACAGGACGGAAAGACCCCAUGGAGCUUUACUGUAGCUUGACAUUGAAUUUUGGUGCUACAUGUACAGGAUAGGUGGGAGGCUAUGAAGUCGGGACGCCAGUCUCGGCGGAGCCAUCCUUGGGAUACCACCCUUGUAGUACUGAGAUUCUAACCAGAUACCUUGAAUCAGGUAUUGGGACACUGUCAGGUGGGCAGUUUGACUGGGGCGGUCGCCUCCGGCCAUCGCUCAACGGAUAAAAGCUACCCUGGGGAUAACAGGCUUAUCUCCCCCAAGAGUCCACAUCGACGGGGAGGUUUGGCACCUCGAUGUCGGCUCAUCACAUCCUGGGGCUGUAGUAGGUCCCAAGGGUUGGGCUGUUCGCCCAUUAAAGUGGUACGCGAGCUGGGUUCAGAACGUCGUGAGACAGUUCGGUCCCUAUCCGUCGCAGGCGUAGGAAAUUUGAGGAGACCUGUCCUUAGUACGAGAGGACCGGGAUGGACGUACCUCUGGUGUACCAGUUGUUCUGCCAAGGGCAUGGCUGGGUAGCUAUGUACGGAAUGGAUAAGCGCUGAAAGCAAAGACUACCUGGUUGAUAGGUCAAAGGUGUAAGUGCAGCAAUGCAUGUAGCUUAUUGAUACUAAUAGAUCGAGGACUUGACCAA
rnacentral:rRNA from 1 species